rnacentral:rRNA from 1 species
CCUGGUUGAUCCUGCCAGUAGUCAUAUGCUUGUCUCAAAGAUUAAGCCAUGCAUGUCUAAGUAUGAACUAAUUCAUACUGUGAAACUGCGGAUGGCUCAUUAAAUCAUUUAUAGUUUUUUUGAUGGUACCAUACUACUCUGAUAACCGUAUUAAUUCUAGAGCUAAUACGUGCACCAAGUCCCGACUCUUUGGAAGGGAUGCAUUUUUUAGAUAAAAGGUCGGUGCGGGCUUGCCCGCUUCUCCGGUGAAUCAUGAUAACUCGACGGAUCGCAUAGCCCUUGUGCUAGCGAUGCUUCAUUCAAAUUUUUUCCCUAUCAACUUUCGAUGGUAGGAUAGAGGCCUACCAUGGUGGUGACGGGUGAUGGAGAAUUAGGGUUCGAUUCCGGAGAGGGAGCCUGAGAAACGACUACCACAUCCAAGGAAGGCAGAAGGCGUGCAAAUUACCCAAUCCUGACAUGGGGAGGUAGUGACAAUAAAUAACAAUACUGGGCUCAUCGAGUCUGGUAAUUGGAAUGAGUACAAUCUAAAUCCCUUAACGAGGAUCCAUUGGAGGGCAAUUCUGGUGCCAGCAGCCGCGGUAAUUCCAGCUCCAAUAGCGUAUAUUUAAGUUGUUGCAGUUAAAAAGCUCGUAGUUGGAUCUUGGGUCGUAAAGGUCGGUCCGCUUACUCGGUGUGCACCUGCCCUUCCGUCCCUUUUGUCGGCGGCGUGCUCCUGGCCUUAAUUGGCUGGGUCGCGGCUCCGGCACUGUUACUUUGAAAAAAUUAGAGUGCUCAAAGCAAGCUUAUGCUCUGAAUACAUUAGCAUGGAAUAACGUGAUAGGAGUCUGGUCCUAUUGUGUUGGCCUUUGGGACUGGAGUAAUGAUUAAUAUGGACUAACGGGGGCAUUCGUAUUUCAUUGUUAGAGGUGAAAUUCUUGGAUUUAUGAAAGACGGACCACUGCGAAAGCAUUUGCCAAGGAUGUUUUCAUAAUCAAGAACGAAAGUUGGGGGCUCGAAGACGAUCAGAUACCGUCCUAGUCUCAACCAUAAACGAUGCCGACCAGGGAUCGGCGGAUGUUGCUCUAAGGAAUCCGCCAGCACCUUCUGAGAAAUCAGAGUUGUUACACAGUAAAAUGUCACUGCCAUCAUGUCAGUCUCCCUACUGUGCCAUAAACCACAUUCACCUAUACUCAUGCUCCUCAAAAUGGCUAAAAAACCCUCUUUGCCUAAGUUAAAUGAAUCAUCGCGUCUGUUAAUCAAAUAACCGCGCUGAUAGGCAGAGGCCAAUGUAUCUGAUGCGCUGCCAGCGCGGAAGCACACGUCUUUUCCGCGCUGGUCCCAUUUUGCGAACAGCGCACCCUCCGUUUGUCCUUUGCGCGCUGACCAGACCUCCUCUAUACUUGAUUUGCGAUGUCAGCGCGCCAGCUCAGUGUUUCACCCGCGCUGAUCCUGUUUGGGCGAAUUUGUUCUAACAACCAGCCUUCCAGGAUCCCUCCAGACUUGGUUGUUAGCAUUGUUGAGGUCGCCAUCCUUUCUCUGGCAUGUCUGUUCGACUGACCACCCACUUAUCUUGGGGGGAAAGCUCAUCCUUUACCUAUUCAUGGAGACUCCUUCUCUUUAUAAGCCUCCUCCAUUGCCCAUGAGCAGCUAGUUUGGAACAUAUAAACUUUGAUUGAGGAAUUCUUAGUGCAUUUUAGUGCUGCUCUUUGUAGGCAUUUGGUGUGUUGUGUGAGGAUUGCUUUGAGCUUGAGGAAGGUCAUGAGCUUGUUGCCUUGUAUGUGAAAGAGAGACCUUUUG